rnacentral:rRNA from 1 species
UACGUAGGGGCAAGCGUUGUCCGGAUUUAUUGGGCGUAAAGCGCUCGCAGGUGGUCCGUCGGCGUCGUGCGUGAAAGACCCCGGCUCAACUGGGGAGGGUCGUGCGAUACGGGCGGACUGGAAGGCCAGUAGGGGGAUGCGGAAUUCGGGGUGUAGUGGUGGAAUGCGUAGAGAUCCGGAAGGAACACCAGCGGCGAAGGCGGCAUCCUGGACUGGUCCUGACACUCAGGAGCGAA